UAAUACGAGUAAAACCGAACGUUAGUCAUUCUACAGUGCGUACAGGUAUAACAGUGACGGAGCGUUUUUUUUUUUUAUUACGGAGAUUUUCCGCGUUCAAACGGAUACGCAAGGCCGAGUCAAAUCGAACGGCUUGGGAAAAGUUGGGAUUCGUCUGCUGCGGCGCGCGCCCGCUAAAAAACGGUAAACGGUAAAUUGUCGGGCAUCAGUCGAUAUUGUAACGAACACAUUUGCUUUCUCACGGAAAAAUACUGCCGGUGUUGCCACGGGAGUGA